AGCGAACGCUGGCGGCAGGCCUAACACAUGCAAGUCGAGCGCCCCGCAAGGGGAGCGGCAGACGGGAGAGUAACACGUGGGAACGUGCCCUUUGGUUCGGAACAACCCAGGGAAACUUGGGCUAAUACCGGACAAGUCCGUAAGGAGAAAGAUUUAUCGCCAAAGGAGCGGCCCGCGUCUGAUUAGCUAGUUGGUGAGGUAACGGCUCACCAAGGCGACGACCAGUAGCUGGUCUGAGAGGAUGAUCAGCCUCACUGGGACUGAGACACGGCCCAGACUCCUACGGGAGGCAGCAGUGGGGAAUAUUGGACAAUGGGCGCAAGCCUGAUCCAGCCAUGCCGCGUGGGUGAUGAAGGCCCUAGGGUUGUAAAGCCCUUUCGGCGGGGAGAUAAUGACGGUACCCGCAGAAGAAGCCCCGGCUAACUUCGUGCCAGCCGCCGCAGUAAUAC
rnacentral:rRNA from 1 species